UGAGGAAUAUUGGGCAAUGCCCGAAAGGGUGACCCAGCAACGCCGCGUGGAGGAUGAAGGUCGUAAGAUUGUAAACUCCUGUUAGAGGGGAAGAAUAACUAAGUUUGGAGCUUAGUAUGACUGUACCCUCAGAGAAAGCCCCGGCUAACUACGUGCCAGCAGCCGCGGUAAUACGUAGGGGGCAAGCGUUGUCCGGAUUUACUGGGUGUAAAGGGCGCGCAGGCGGAAUGGAAAGUCAGUGGUGAAAUCCUACAGCUUAACUGUAGAACUGCCUUUGAUACUUUCAUUCUUGAGUUCGGGAGAGAGAGACGGAAUUCCAGGUGUAGUGGCGAAAUACGUAGAUAUCUGGAAGAACACCAGUUGCGAAGGCGGUCUCUUGGUCCGAUACUGACGCUGAGGCGCGAAAGCGUGGGGAGCAAACA
rnacentral:rRNA from 1 species